UACGUAGGGUGCAAGCGUUGUCUGGAAUUAUUGGGCGUAAAGAGCUCGUAGGCGGUUUGUCACGUCGGAUGUGAAAACCCGGAGCUCAACUCCGGGCCUGCAGUCGAUACGGGCAGACUGGAGUUCGGCAGGGGAGACUGGAAUUCCUGGUGUAGCGGUGAAAUGCGCAGAUAUCAGGAGGAACACCGAUGGCGAAGGCAGGUCUCUGGGCAUUAACUGACGCUGAGGAGCGAAAGCAUGGGGAGCGAACAGG
rnacentral:rRNA from 1 species